GACAGAGGCCACGAACGUUGUUCGGAAUUACUGGGCAUAAAGCGCACGUAGGCGGCUAGGUCCGUCCGAUGUGAAAGCCCCCGGCUCAACCGGGGAACAGCAUCGGAUACAGCCUGGCUUGAGGACGGUUGGGGUGAGUGGAACUCCUGGUGGAGCGGUGAAAUGCGUAGAUAUCAGGAGGAACACCAGUGGCGAAAGCGGCUCACUGGACCGUUACUGACGCUGAGGUGCGAAAGCUAGGGGAGCAAACGGG
rnacentral:rRNA from 1 species